UAGAAGAAUAUAUCGUGUUAUUAUAAGCAAACUCUACCAAUGGUAAAAGAAUUGUCCAAUCAACUUAUUGGUAGUUGAUGGUACAUCUUAAAUACUACUCCAAAACUUGAUUAAUAUACUAUUGUAAUACGUGAAGUCUUGCUUGAGAAUGCUCCGGGCACUUGGCUGUGGAAGGAAGAAUAGAAAUUGCAAUAACAAAGUCGUAAUUCUAAUAGAAUACUAACAAUGCUCUAAUUAGACCAUAAUAAUGCUAAGCAAGCUUAAUCAAAUUCAAAAAAACCUCAAAGAAACUUCAAAAAAAUAAUAAGAAUUCUUAAAGAAAUAUUAGAAGGAUCACAAAUAUCACUCAAAUACAUCUCAAUUAAAUCUUAAUUUAAUUCUAGUUAAAAUCCUAUUGAACUUCAUUCAAAUUUUAGGCCAAAAUUAAUUAAAUCUUAAAUCCUAAUAAAAUCUUAAAUCCUAAAUCAAACCCUAAAUAAACCUUAAACCCUAAAUAAAAUCCUAACCAAAUCCUAAACCAAAUCGUAAAUCCUAAAUCAAAUCCUAAACCCUAAACCAAACUUUAAUCCAAACUCUAAAUUCUAAACCAAAUUCUAAUCCAAAUCCUAAAUCCUAAACCAAAUCCUAACCAAAUCUUAAAUCCUAAAUAAAUCCUAAUCAAAUCCUAAACCAAAUCCUAAAUCCUAAAUCAAACCCUAAUCAAAAUCCUAAAUCCUAAACCAAACCCUAAAUCAAAUCCUAAACCAAAUCCUAAAUCAAAUCCUAAAUCAAAUCCUAAACCAUAAACCAAAUCCUAAUCAAACCCUAAACCAAAACCUAAUCCUAAAUUAAAUCCUAACCCUAAAUCCUAACCAAAUCCUAAACAAAUACUAAAUCCUAAACCAAACCCUAAACCAAACCCUAACCCUAAACUAAUUCCUAACCAAACCAUAGUAAUUCCUACAACAGAUUUAAACCUCAAUAACUAAUAAAUAAACCAUUGAUCUUAAUUCAAAUUUUACUCACUUCUUAAAAACUAAGUUGAAAAUAAUUACAAAUUUUUUGUAAAGGAUCGGAAUUACCAAAUAGACGAUAAACUCAAAAACGUGCUCAGGUAUUGGUUGGCCUCCUUUUCCAACCUUGAUGUCAAUCUUUCAGAGCCAAUAUCUCUCCUUUGCAUUAUUUGAUUGAUCUCAAAAUUAUCAUACACAUAGAAAAAUAAGUCUAAUAUCCUCUCACAUAAGUUUCACUCUAAUCCAACUAGUAGAUUGCAAUAAAUCUUAAAAACUCUCACUAGAUCUAAAAUUCUACUUUCUAAGACCUUGACCCUCUUAAACCUCAAUAUCUCUCAAAUCAACCGUUAGAUCUAACUCAAAUUCACAAUACAUAUUAAACACAUUUAUGACCAUAAAUUUAAAAUUUUUUACCUAUAGAUCUAUUACAAAACUCUUGAAAUCAUCCAAAAUAUAAACCCUAUUUUAUUUCAUAAAAUUCAAGUCAUCCAAAACAAACCUUGACUUUGUAAAGCUUUUACAAAGUCAUAACAACUCCAAAUCAUCCAAAAUCAAU
rnacentral:lncRNA from 1 species